rnacentral:tRNA from 1 species
GCGUCAGUAGUUCAGUGGUAGAACACUGGUUAACUAAGCAAGUGGUCCGGAGUUCGAUUUCCGGCUGACGCA